AGAAUUUUAGUGAAUCAUCGAAUCUUUGAACGCACAUUGCGCCCCCUGGGAAUUCCCAGGGGCAUGCCUGUUCGAGCGUCC
rnacentral:rRNA from 1 species